rnacentral:rRNA from 1 species
UACGAAGGGGGCUAGCGUUACUCGGAAUCAUUGGGCGUAAAGCGCACGUAGGCGGCCUGUUAAGUCGGGUGUGAAAUCCCUCGGCUCAACCGAGGAAGUGCAUUCGAAACUAGCAGGCUUGAAUGUGGAAGAGGGUCGUGGAAUUCCCGGUGUAGAGGUGAAAUUCGUAGAUAUCGGGAGGAACACCAGUGGCGAAGGCGGCGACCUGGGCCAACAUUGACGCUGAGGUGCGAAAGCGUGGGGAGCAAACAGG